AUGUCUUUUUUCAUGGCUGUCAUUUGUUGUUAUUUACACGUGCAUUAAUGUUAACAAUGGCAAAAGUGGAGCUGCUUAUUGAAUUAGUAAAAAAACACAAAAUAUUGUACGAUUUGGCGGACGAGGACUACAAAAACAUCAGAAAAAAGGACAAGAUAUGGGACGAAAUUGGAUUGGAGCUGGAAGAAAGUGGUGAUGAAGUAAAAAAAAAUGAAAAAAUUUACGAGACUAUUUUUCAAAAUAUGUGAGGUCAACAAAAUGUACUACAGGGCAAGCCGCAGUUCAUAAAACAUGGAUUUGGGCCAAGCAAAUGGAAAGUUUUCGUCCAUUUAUUUCGUUUGCUAAAACGUCUUCGAAUGUCAGUGGCAUUGAACCAUCUAAAACAUCUUCAUUCACGGAAACUUUUCAAUGGACAGAACCACCAGAAUCGCAUAUGGAUGACGAGAGCAAUGAUGAAUUGAACCAAUCUAUCGUAUCUAUUCCUGCCGUUGAUGCUGAAAAACCUCCAUUGAAGCGCUUGAAAAGAUCUACCCCACAAGCAACGUCCUCCGUGAAGGAUGUAAUUGAAUAUUUGCAAACAAAGAAUAAAAAAGCGCAAGACGAUGUUGACAUUUUGUUUAUGGCGCAUGCCCAAACAAUUAAAAAAUUCAGUCCGAGGAGACAGGCUCAAAUAAAAUUUAAAAUUGCAAAGCUUAUUAUGGAGGAAGAAAUGGCGAGUCUUGAGGAAAAUUCACCUAGUUACUCUACCAAUAGCCUUUCAUCACAAUUUACAUUUGAUAACAUCUCUACUGCAAACAUAAAUUUUAGCUCAGGUGAUUCAAAUGUCACAUAUAAUGAUACAAUAAUAUUACCUUAAAAAGAUUGCCAAUCGCUCUUCUGGUGAAAUUGGCUGCCUGAAAUGUGUGUGCUGCUUUUUAAUAUCAGCUUCGAUUAACUUCAAAAGGUAAUCGAAGCAGGUGGAGGUCAUUCUAAAAUAUAUAUAGAAUCUUUUUUCAUCCUUCCGAAGUUUCUUCAUCAAAGUGAUGAACUCUCCACGGGAAUGCCUCUCUGCAUUUAUGGGAUGUACCCAAAUUCUUUUUUGCCUAAUUUAAUUAUAUAAUGUUACAAUAAACAAUCACAAAAAAUUAAAUAUUUAAUACUCA